rnacentral:rRNA from 1 species
AUACAGAGGGUGCAAGCGUUAAUCGGAUUUACUGGGCGUAAAGCGCGCGUAGGUGGCUAAUUAAGUCAAAUGUGAAAUCCCCGAGCUUAACUUGGGAAUUGCAUUCGAUACUGGUUAGCUAGAGUAUGGGAGAGGAUGGUAGUAUUCCAGGUGUAGCGGUGAAAUGCGUAGAGAUCUGGAGGAAUACCGAUGGCGAAGGCAGCCAUCUGGCCUAAUACUGACACUAAGGUGCGAAAGCAGGGGGAGCAAACAGGAUUAGAUGCCCUGGUAGUCCAUGCCGUAAACGAUGUCUACUAGCCGUUGGGGCCCUUGAGGCUUUAGUGGCGCAGCUAACGCGAUAAGUAGACCGCCUGGGGAGUACGGUCGCAAGACUAAAACUCAAAUGAAUUGACGGGG